GACGAACGCUGGCGGCGUGCUUAACACAUGCAAGUCGAACGGAAAGGCCCUGCUUUUGUGGGGUGCUCGAGUGGCGAACGGGUGAGUAACACGUGAGUAACCUGCCCUUGACUUUGGGAUAACUUCAGGAAACUGGGGCUAAUACCGGAUAGGAGCUCCUGCUGCAUGGUGGGGGUUGGAAAGUUUCGGCGGUUGGGGAUGGACUCGCGGCUUAUCAGCUUGUUGGUGGGGUAGUGGCUUACCAAGGCUUUGACGGGUAGCCGGCCUGAGAGGGUGACCGGCCACAUUGGGACUGAGAUAGGGCCCAGACUCCUACAGGAGGCAGCAGUCGGGAAUAUUGCACGAUGGGCGGAAGCCUAAUGCAGCAACGCCGCGUGCGGGAUGACGGCCUUCGGGGUGUAAACCGCUUUCGCCUGUGACGAAGCGUGAGGGACGGUAAUGGGUAAAGAAGCACCGGCUAACUACGUG
rnacentral:rRNA from 1 species